rnacentral:rRNA from 1 species
UACGUAGGGGGCGAGCGUUGUCCGGAAUUACUGGGCGUAAAGGGCGUGUAGGCGGCCGGUUAAGUCAGAUGUGAAAGGCCUCGGCUUAACCGAGGCAUUGCAUUUGAAACUGGCCGGCUUGAGUGCAGGAGAGGAAAGUGGAAUUCCUAGUGUAGCGGUGAAAUGCGUAGAUAUUAGGAGGAACACCAGUGGCGAAGGCGACUUUCUGGACUGCAACUGACGCUGAGGCGCGAAAGCGUGGGUAGCGAACAGG